CGUUUGACCUCGGAUCAGGUAGGGAUACCCGCUGAACUUAAGCAUAUCAAUAAGCGGAGGAAAAGAAACCAACAGGGAUUGCCCUAGUAACGGCGAGUGAAGCGGCAACAGCUCAAAUUUGAAAUCUGGCUCUUUUAGAGUCCGAGUUGUAAUUUGCAGAGGGCGCUUUGGCUUUGGCAGCGGUCCAAGUUCCUUGGAACAGGACGUCACAGAGGGUGAGAAUCCCGUACGUGGUCGCUAGCUAUUGCCGUGUAAAGCCCCUUCGACGAGUCGAGUUGUUUGGGAACGCAGCUCUAAAUGGGAGGUAAAUUUCUUCUAAAGCUAAAUAUUGGCCAGAGACCGAUAGCGCACAAGUAGAGUGAUCGAAAGAUGAAAAGCACUUUGGAAAGAGAGUCAAACAGCACGUGAAAUUGUUGAAAGGGAAGCGCUUGCAGCCAGACUUGCUUGCAGUUGCUCAUCCGGGCUUUUGCCCGGUGCACUCUUCUGCAGGCAGGCCAGCAUCAGUUUGGGCGGUGGGAUAAAGGUCUCUGACACGUUCCUUCCUUCGGGUUGGCCAUAUAGGGGAGACGUCAUACCACCAGCCUGGACUGAGGUCCGCGCAUCUGCUAGGAUGCUGGCGUAAUGGCUGUAAGCGGCCCGUCUUGAAACACGGACCAAGGAGUCUAACAUCUAUGCGAGUGUUUGGGUGUCAAGCCCGAGCGCGUAAUGAAAGUGAACGGAGGUGGGAACCCGCAAGGGUGCACCAUCGACCGAUCCUGAAGUUUACGGAAGGAUUUGAGUAAGAGCAUGGCUGUUGGGACCCGAAAGAUGGUGAACUAUGCUUGAAUAGGGUGAAGCCAGAGGAAACUCUGGUGGAGGCUCGCAGCGGUUCUGACGUGCAAAUCGAUCGUCAAAUUUGGGCAUAGGGGCGAAAGACUAAUCGAACUAUCUAGUAGCUGGUUCCUGCCGAAGUUUCCCUCAGGAUAGCAGUAACGUAUUCAGUUUUUAUGAGGUAAAAGCGAAUGAUUAGAGGCAUGGGGGUUGAAACAACCUUCACCUAUUCUCAAACUUU
rnacentral:rRNA from 1 species